rnacentral:rRNA from 1 species
AACGAACGCUGGCGGCAUGCCUAACACAUGCAAGUCGAACGAGACCUUCGGGUUUAGUGGCGCACGGGUGCGUAACGCGUGGGAACCUGCCCUUAGGUUCGGAAUAACUCCCCGAAAGGGGUGCUAAUACCGGAUAAUGUCUCCGGACCAAAGAUUUAUAGCCUUUGGAUGGGCUCGCGUUGGAUUAGCUAGUUGGUAGGGUAAAAGCCUACCAAGGCGACGAUCCAUAGCUGGUCUGAGAGGAUGGGCAGCCACACUGGGACUGAGACACGGCCCAGACUCCUACGGGAGGCAGCAGUGGGGAAUAUUGGACAAUGGGCGAAAGCCUGAUCCAGCAAUGCCGCGUGAGUGAUGAAGGCCUUAGGGUUGUAAAGCUCUUUUAUCCGGGAUGAUAAUGACAGUACCGGGAGAAUAAGCUCCGGCUAACUCCGUG